ensembl:snRNA U6 U6 spliceosomal RNA
GUGCUUGCUUUGGCAGCACAUAUACUAAAAUUGGAAUGAUACAGAGAAAUUUAGCAUGGCCCCUGCGCAAGGAUGACAGGCAAAUUCCCAAAGCAUUCCAUAUUAUU